CUCUGUAACAGAAUUCCAGAGCUUCGUUAUGGACCUUGCUCAUGAACUGAUUGCCACAAAAGAAGACAAGCGGUUCUCCAGCUCAGAACUGAAAACUCUUAUGUAUCAUCUCACCCACGAAUCAGCUUCAUCACACAUGGGCGGGCCAUGCCUGCUACGGGUAGAAACGAUGCUAGAUAUCCCACACCACUGCUGUCUGUAGACACAAGCAUUCUGAAAACAGCUCAGGGAGGCGGGCGUGUAUAGCCCACACCAUCACCAUCGCUACCGCAGGAACCCCCAGAAGCGUACAGCCCACACCGUCACCAUCGCCACCGGAACCCCCAGAAGCGUACAGCCCACACCAUCGCCACCGGAACCCCCAGAAGCGUACAGCCCACACCAUCGCCACCGGAAACCCCAGAAGCGUACAGCCCACACCGUCACCAUCACUACCGCGGGAACCCCCCUUUCACUGCUGAUAGUGUCAGCGGCUCCACCACACCCAUCACCAGUUCCACUAAUGACAUCAUCAGGACACCCCCCACUCCAGACUGACACCUCAUCUCCUUCUCUCAUGCCACCGGCACCUCUCACGCCACCGAGCAUCAACCGAGACCUAAGAUUGAAAAAGAAUGACUAACUGUAACUCCACCAGGCAUAAAGACUUAGAAGGUUUCAUUUACAAACCUCUAAGUCAAUUGCACAGAAUGUGACACCAUCUCAGUGUGGCCUCAAACACCGUGACAGUUAUUACAAACGUCAGUGGAUAAAAGUGUCCUCCCUUACUGUGGUGACCAGGAGAACAGACAAAAGCAAGGUCUGGUAGAAGGCUCCUUGGUGCCCAUAGGCAUCUCCGCUAUAGCUCUGAGCCUGGGCUAUUUAUUCCCAAUGUCCGGAUAUGUGGAAUCAGAGAUUAUGGCCAUGUGGGACAGGAAGCAGCCAUGCAUGAUCUCAUUACCAGAAUGGCUGGAUCUCCAUAUGACAAUGAACUUGAAGCUCACUGGCAGACUCCUAGCAGUCCAAUGGGAAGCUCUUUAAAAAUAGAUUUCAUAGACAUUUUGCUGUAUUUUCCUUUGAAGAUGUGAAAAAAAAUAACUUUAUCCAUAUUUUUAAAGGUCACAAUUUUUUGUCUUAAAAAUCAAGUGCUUUUAUUUUCUUGUAUCCUGAAACUUAACAAGUCACAAAUAGUUAAACUUAAAUUGCUAACUGCUCUAUUUUAAGAGACUUAAAAAAGUAAAAGUCAUUACCAAGCUGAUACUGUGAGUAACCAGCUCUGCAGCUAGAGGCAGACUUUACAGCUAGUUGUAAAUCCUUAACCCGUGAGCCUUUUACUCUGGCCAAUUGCAGCCCUCCAACACAAGCAGCAGUGUCUCUAUGGCAUCACAAAAGGCCUAUUAACUUCCCAAUGACUAGAGGAGGAAACAGUCUUUAGCAGAGUAUACAAGGGAGCCAAAGACAAAAAGACACUGGGAACCACAACUCCAAACCCUGAGGGUCACAGAGACCUUCCUCUGAACCAGAGUGUUUACUUCACUGAUUUAAAAUACACCGGUGUCUUGGCCAAGUCUCACUGGAGAGUAUUUGUUUAACAAAUAAAGAUGUGUGUUUCCUAAAGUGUCUCUGACUGAGGCUUGAGAUCCCACCCCUUCGGAAACUCAGGGCUUGGCUAGCUCCCGCACAGGCCUUUGACUGUGAGGAUCUCUCUUCUAAGGGAAGGAAAGGGCUGGUGUUCCUGAGGGAAGACAUGCUUCCACCAAGCUGUCAACAGGAACGACAAAUGGGGAAGGCAAAAACCAGGGUCCGGCAGGAUUUGUACGUCGAGCAAUUCAAUAGGAGGACCAAGUUUAAAACCGGAUUGGCAGUUGGUCUUUUCCUGAGGAUGUGAGUACCUGCUUGCCUGCUUACCCUUGAGAAUGGAAGUCAGCCUGAGGGUACCCCAGCUGGUUCUAUUCACUUAACACCAGAGUACCCCUUAAAUAAAUAAAACCACAAGGCUAAUCAUACAAAUAGCACCUACUUCUCUUAAACAGAAAAAUAAAGAACAUUUCUUAAU